rnacentral:rRNA from 1 species
UAGCAUAUCAAUAAGCGGAGGAAAAGAAACCAACAGGGAUUGCCCCAGUAACGGCGAGUGAAGCGGCAAGAGCUCAAAUUUGAAAGCUGGCUCCUUCGGGGUCCGCAUUGUAAUUUGCAGAGGAUGCUUCGGGAGCGGCCCCCAUCUAAGUGCCCUGGAACGGGCCGUCAUAGAGGGUGAGAAUCCCGUAUGGGAUGGGGUGCCCGCGCCCGUGUGAAGCUCCUUCGACGAGUCGAGUUGUUUGGGAAUGCAGCUCUAAAUGGGUGGUAAAUUUCAUCUAAAGCUAAAUAUUGGCCGGAGACCGAUAGCGCACAAGUAGAGUGAUCGAAAGAUGAAAAGCACUUUGAAAAGAGAGUUAAAAAGCACGUGAAAUUGUUGAAAGGGAAGCGUUUGCGACCAGACUCGCCUACGGGGUUCAGCCGGCUUUCGGGCCGGUGUACUUCCCCGUGGGCGGGCCAGCGUCGGUUUGGGCGGCCGGUCAAAGGCCCUCGGAAUGUAACGCCUCUCGGGGCGUCUUAUAGCCGAGGGUGCCAUGCGGCCUGCCCGGACCGAGGAACGCGCUUCGGCUCGGACGCUGGCAUAAUGGUCGUAAACGACCCGUCUUGAAACACGGACCAAGGAGUCUAACAUCUAUGCGAGUGUUCGGGUGUCAAACCCGUGCGCGCAGUGAAAGCGAACGGAGGUGGGAACCCUUUGGGUGCACCAUCGACCGAUCCAGAAGUCUUCGGAUGGAUUUGAGUAAGAGCAUAGCUGUUGGGACCCGAAAGAUGGUGAACUAUGCCUGAAUAGGGCGAAGCCAGAGGAAACUCUGGUGGAGGCUCGCAGCGGUUCUGACGUGCAAAUCGAUCGUCAAAUUUGGGUAUAGGGGCGAAAGACUAAUCGAACCAUCUAGUAGCUGGUUCCUGCCGAA